GUGCUCACUUCAGCAGUGCAUAUACUAAAAUUGGAAUGAUACAGAGAAGAUUAGCAUGGCCCCUGCAGAAGAAUAACACCCAAACAUGAAGUGUUCCAUAUAUAA
ensembl:snRNA U6 U6 spliceosomal RNA